AGAUAAAGUCAGUAGUGCACAAGACUCUCGUGGCACCUGGUUCAUGUUUACUUAAAGGUCGGCUUUGUGGAGUUGUGUGUGAGCUGCUCUGACCGCAAGUCAACACACUAUCCUCAAGGAGGAAGAGGAAGCCUUGGAGGGUGCAGCGAUACAUCCUCUCUGUAAAGAAUAUUUUUAUUUUUCUUGGACUGUGGCUUUAACAUUAGACUGUGGCUUUAAAAACUACCAUUGCUGCGAUUGAAAGACAAGUUCACUGGAAUAAGAUGAGGAAUAUCUACAAUGUUACUAUUCUGGAACAGAGUAUGCCAUAAAAGACCAGGAUGGUGCCAGAGAGGAUUCCUGGACUAAGGGGGACUGCCUGACAACAGCAUUUUAAUUGGCUCUUGACCAGCUGACCAGAGUUUUGUGUGGUAACAGUGCAGGCAGUACAGCUCCUAGCCUGCAAAGAGGGAAGACCUGAAACCUCUUUCUCCUAUCUUUGUAAGACUCCAUUAAUUCUGCCAUAGUAGCUUGUUGGUUAUUCCUCACAUCUCUGUAACCUGCUUUCUCUGAAAACCCUGUCAAGAGGAAAGGAAAAGGGGAAAAAUCACCAGUAGAGACAUUGAAAAGCAAGCUUUUCAACCAGUGAACAACAACUGAAAGUGUUGGGAGAGCACCUCGUGUCAUCAACAACAAGCUGAAAGGAAUUUGGAAGACAUCAAUCAAAAUCAACCCAUCUAAUCCUUUGCUACAGAUUGGUGCUACUGAACUGUUUUAUCUCACCCUUAAAAUCCAUGUUUUGUGUGUCUUAUGUGUAUGUGUGUUUGUGUAUAGGGGUUUAAGAAGGGGUAGGGUCUAAGUUAUAGUGUUAGAAGUUAGCAGAUCAUAUUGCUUUCUUUUGCUGCUGGUUAAUGAUAGUUUUUUCAAUAAAGUUAUUUACUUAUUAAGUUUA